AGUUUUCACAAAUAUUUCCUUUCAAUUGAUUUAGCCUUGUAUUGAUAAAUUUCUUUAUUAUCAUUUAUUGCCUUUACUUCCCCAUUGUUAGAUUAUAUUAAUAUUUUAUACAGGUUUCUAUGUCUGAUCCAGGUACUUCUGCCCGUGUCGGAUGCCAGUGAGUUGAUUCAGUCAUUUCGGAGACUUCAAGGUAUACCUGCUUGACGCUCACAUGCCUCAGAGUCGCCUUCUGAUAUUGUCUUUACUACUGUUUAUCUUCAUAUCAAAAUAAUAUUGUAUUUAGAGAUUCCUAGUGUACUUCAUUUGAGCAUAUGAUUGUGUACCUCCAGUUUUGAGAAUUAUAUGAAUGUUGUUCCGUUUUGGUUU